rnacentral:lncRNA from 1 species
UUUACACAUCCCAUGUACUGAAUAAGAGAGCGAUAAAGAGUUGGCUUACAAUCGCCACUUCACACAAUACAUAAAUAUAGCAUUACAUUAUCCAGAAUACAAUCAAGGUCCGACUACGGAACCAACAUAAAUACAGACAACCCCAAAUGCUAGAUCCCCGAUCGCCCCAACUGGGCUCCACUACUGAUCAAUAGGAAACGAAACAACACAACGAACAAGAUAUUCUUCGAGCUCCCACUUGAGGUCAGUUGCGUCAUCUACACUGGUAUCAUCGGCACCUGCAACUGUUUGGAAGUAUCUGUGAGCCACGAGGACUCAGCAAUCUCACACCCGCGAGAUCAAGACUAUUUAAGCUUAUGGGUAGGAGAAGGUAGUGAGGUGGAGCUGCAGCAAGCACUAAGCAUAUAUGGCGGCUAACAUACGCAAAUAAGAGAGAGAAGAGAAGCAAAGCACGAUCGUGAACUAGAAGUGAUCCUGAAACUACUUACAUUCAAGCAUAACACCAAAACCGUGUUCACUUCCCGGACUCCGGCGAAAAGAGACCAUCAUGGCUACACACGCGGUUGAUGCAUUUUAAUUAAGUUAAGUUUCAAGUUCUCUACAACCGGACAUUAACAAAUUCCCAUCUGCCCAUAACCUCGGGCACGGUUUUUGAAAGUUCAAAACCCUGCAGGGGUGUCCCAACUUAGCCCAUCACAAGCUCUCACGGUCAACGAAGGAUAUUCCUUCUCCCAGGAAGACCCGAUCAGACUCGGAAUCCCGGUUACAAGACAUUUCGACAAUGGUAAAACAAGACUAGCAAGACCGCAUGAUGCGUCGACAUCCCGAUAGGAGCUGCACAUAUCUCCUUCUCAGGACAACACCGGAUGAACACUAUGAACCAGCCCUCAAGUUUCCCCGAGGUGUUGCCUCAAGUGGCUCUGGUUCGGACCAACACUUAGAGAAGCACUGGCCCGGGGGGUUUAAAUAAAGAUGACCCUCAGGAGCACGACUCCCAAGGGAAAAGUAGGUGGUGGUGAGGAAAAUGGUAAAACCAAGGUUCAGCCUUGCUGGAGGAGUUUUAUUCAAAGCGAACUGUCAAGGGGUCCCCAUAACACCCAACCGUGUAAGGAACGCAAAAUGAAGGAACAUAACACGGGUAUGACGGAAACUAGGGCGGCAAGAGUGGAACAAAACACCGGGCAUAAGGCCGAGCCUUCCACCCUUUACCAAGUAUAUAGAUGCAUUAAUUAAAUAAGAGAUAUUUUGAUAUCCCAGCAUAUCCAUGUUCCAACAUGGAACAAACUUCAUCUUCACCUGCAACUAGCAACGCUAUAAGAGGGGCUGAGCAAAGCGGUAACAUAGCCAAACAACGGUUUGCUAGGAAAGGUGGGUUAGAGGCUUGACAUGGCAAUAUGGGUGGCAUGAUAAAGCAAGUGGUAGGUAUCGCGGCAUAGAAAUAGAGUGAGCAACUAGCAAGCAAAGAUAGAAGUGAUUUCGAGGGUAUGGUCAUCUUGCCUGAGAUCCCGCAAGGAAGAAGAACGAUUCCAUGAAGAAGACAAAUGGAC